UACAGAGGGUGCAAGCGUUGUUCGGAAUUAUUGGGCGUAAAGGGCGUGUAGGCGGUCUGGAAAGUCUUCUGUGAAAUCUACGGGCUUAGCCUGUAACGUGCAGAGGAAACUACCAGGCUUGAGUGUCGGAGAGGAUAGGGGAAUUCCCGGUGUAGAGGUGAAAUUCGUAGAGAUCGGGAGGAACACCAGUGGCGAAGGCGCCUAUCUGGCUGACAACUGACGCUGAGACUCGAAAGCAUGGGGAGCAAACAGG
rnacentral:rRNA from 1 species